rnacentral:lncRNA from 1 species
GCCAGUCUGUCCUCUGCAGUGUAGGUGGCAAAGUAAGGUGAUUAAUUAUGCACAAGUCGUGAUUUCUGGUGUCACAUUCCAGUCCUACUGUAUUUUUAAAGCUUUGUGACAGCUGCCAGCCUACGCCACAGCCACAGCCAUGUGGGAUCCGAGCUGCAUCCUCAACCCACGCCACAGCCUGUGGCAACACCAGAUCCUUAACCCACUGAGCGAGGCCAGGGAUGGAACCCACAUCCUUGUGGACGCUGCUCGGCCCUCCGGAAACUUAGGUGAACGCCAGCUUGGAAUUUUGUCCCAUCCCCCUGCCGCGGGCCGAAUGAUGGUGUCUCCUCCAAAUUCAUGUGUUGAAGCUCUAACCCCCGUGUGUGGGUGUUUGCAGGUGGCCUCUGGUAGGUGACAGGGAUUAGAUGGGGCGGUGAGGGAGGGGCCGCCCUGAUGGGACCAGGGUCCUCCUAAGAAGAGACACCAGACAGCUUGCUCCUCCCCCCUGCCCCACGUGAGGAGCCGGCUGCCACCCUGCCAGGGGCAGAGGGCUCUCACCGGGCACUGAAUCCACCUAUGGCGUGAUCCUGGACUUCCUGCCUCCAGAACUGUGAGAAAUCAAUGUUUGUCAUUUAAGCCAGCCCGCCUCCCCCCACCCCCACUUCCCGCCUCAGUUCUGUGCCCUGAUCCCCAGCCCGGGCCCCUCCGAGGGCUGUUCCCUCUGGGAAGUCUCAGCCCCCUGGGGCCCAGGAUCGGAUAUUAGCCCAAGCCUCUGCCCCUUCCCAGCUGCCCUGCCUUCGGGAUGAUGUCCAGAUUCUGACGGUCCUGCAGGUCCUGGCAGGUUGUGACCGACCUGCUGUCCCGCCUGAGCUGUCACCCCUGCUCCUGUCACAGCACUCCUGACCGACCUGCUUGCUGCUCCACAGAGUUCUCUCCCGUUCGGGGUGGGGGUUUGCUUCUGUCCAUCCUGCUCUCGGGGGCUCCCUUCAUCCUCCUUUCGUGGCCUGGUCCUUCUUUGUCCCCAAUCUCAAAUGUCACUUCUGCUAAAAUCUCCCCUGGCCCACCUGGGCCCCCUCUCCCCAGAGUCUCCCCUUCAGAGCCACAAGCACCAGGCUGGGCUGCCUCCUGGUCGAAUCCUUUGAGCUUUGCAGCCCCUGCGGCGGCCCCGCCAGGGGAGCUUUCAUCACAGACCGGGCCUGGCAGGUGGGGCCAUGUCCAGGGGGCAGAUGGCCCUGCCCCCACUAGGACACCAGGGUAGAGGCUCUCCGAGCGUGGACCAUGAUAUCAGUGCCACUGGGACGGUCACGGGUGAAGAUUCUCAGACCUCAUCCAGGCCGGUGAAUCAGAAGCCCCGGGGAGGUGUGCUCCUGCAAGCCCCCCAGGGGCUUCUGAUGCCGGCCAGGUAUGAGAGCCCCGGGCCGGGAGAGAACUGCCAGGAUGAGCUGCCGCCCCCUUGGCAGCCUCCCCUGUCCCCUGUGCACUCAGGUCUCCACGUCAGCAUCCGAAGCCUCUGUGUCCUGAAGGCGCAGUCCGAGGAGCCGGUUUGCCACCAAAGCUUAAAGCCAGGUGUCAAUAAACCCACUGGGGACCAGGCCGGACGAACUUUGGAAGAAAAGGUGCUGCGUGCCCUUCAGCAGUUCCAGCGAAAGGCCCAUCAGUUGGUGCCUCGGUCCCCUGGGCUUCCAGCCAAGCACACCUGACUGGAUUAAUGAGCAUCUGGUUGGGGAAGAAAAGGAGCCAGAGGCGGCAGGUGAAAGUCCCAGUUGGAGCCGUGUGGACACUGCCUGGGAUCCUGGUGCAGGGGCUUGUUACUUUAUGAGGCCUGGACAUGGCAUCUGUCAUGUUCAUGGACCCAUAAUCUGCUAUUGCCAGAAAGGAGCCCCGAAGGGUCACUUUGCGCUGUUUUUGAAAUUACAGUUGAAGACAAAGGUCUCAGCCACUCCCGUCUCCCUGCGUCCUGAGCGGACAUCUGCCCUGGGAGUGGGGUUUGAGCUCGGCCAGGCACCCCUGGCCUCAGCAGAGAUGCUCUUGGAGGCCGGAGGAGAGGGGGAGCCUCUCACUGGGAGCUCGGGCCCCCCAGGGCUGACCUGCCCCUCCCUGCUCUCCCCUAGGCUGGCAGUAAGGGUGCAGGGGUGCUGGAGAGUCACCGAGGGGUUAUGCUGCCUCCAAGUCCGCCCCAGUUGUUGGAGGCUUCCCAGGAAUUUGGGGGCACAUAGCUCUUUGUAUUCUUGGGGUUUUGUCCAAUUCUUGAGCAAAGGGGAAAUUUGCACCCCGUGGCCACCCCAUCCAGCAUUUGCAAGGCUAAGCAAUAAAAAACUCGGGGUCCAGUCUCUGCUCUCCUCCAAAAAGCCCAUGGACAGGGCCCCCUGGGGGAUAAAUGCACAGAGUACAGCAGCCCCCAGCCUCAAUUUUCCAAACAUAAAGUGUCAGGUAACCAUAUGACUUAUUUUCCAAAGCAGGACAUUUGUGAGAGAAGCGGGGGACACCAUUCACCAGCAAGAACAGCAGCAUAAGCCGGCGUGAACUCCAACCAUCCUGGGCAAGUGCCCGGGGGUCCCCUGGCUUGGAACCAGUUGAAGCUGAUUAUGAGAGAUUCCACUGUCAUGCUGCAACCAAGCAAAAACACAAUAUGCACAGUUGCUAGAAAAGUCACCCCUCCGUUGACUGUUGUCUGUGUGCAUCAGAAAGGUGAUGCCACAGACCUGUGGUGAGGGCAAGGUGGAAUGAGACAAGAGUGACAGUUUGGCGUGGAGGGUGGCAUUUGGCUACGUAAGGACACAGCGCGGACCCAAUUACAACUGAGGCCAGAGCCAUUAUAUCCCAGGGUCAAAACGGGGACCCUGCUGUUCCCCUGCUCCAAGCCUCUAAGCAGCUCCCCAUGGUUGACUGAGAGAAGCAGGCCACCUGCACUGAAGACUUGCUCUCCGGGCCCCAUCCUGGAAGCACAGGCCUCCUCCCAGCUGGCCUCCAGGAUGUCUCACCCCUGCGCCUCUGCUCCAUGGUGUAUGGAAGUUCCCAGGCUAGGGGUUGAAUUGAAGCUGCAGCUCAGACUCAGCCAGAUCUGAGCCACAUCUGCCACCAACACCACAGCUCACGGCAACACUGGAUCCUUAACCCACUGAGCAAGGCCAGGGAUACUAGUUGGGUUCGUUACUACCGAGCCACCACGGGAGCUCCAGGUGAUCCUUUUGAGGAAAGGAAUUGAGGUUAUUUAAUUGGGGGAGGGUCAGGAGUGCCUGAGCCCCGUCUUGACGUGGUUAACAAGGUUGGGAAAGAUGUUGUCUGCUCGUCUCCUGUUUUUGCAAAAAGCCACUCAGAUUGAGUUCCAGGAAGGACUGUCUUGCAUGAUGACACAUUUCGGCCGGGUCCCUAUUCGUGACAGACCCAGGGGAGCAAGCUAGAUUCUGGGGCGAAGCGGCUAAUUCCAACUGGGACAGGGGACUUCAGAUGCCAGCCUCCUCUCUGAAGGGGACGCUGGGACAGUCUGGGGAGAGAAACCCGAGGCCUUCGGUUUGUGAACAAGCUGGCGGGAACCUCCAGGACGAAGGUGUGGCGAGCGGCCCAGGACAGGGAGGCAGGAAUCUAAAGCUGAUGCGACAGAGACUCGACCCUCUGCUCUGUUCUGCUUGAAGGUGGGUGGGCGACAGCUGUGGCAGGGGGACACCACUGGACAGACAGGCACUCUCGUGAUCCUCAGCGCCUUGGAGCCUAGAGGGGCAGGGAGGGUCCCGUCGGGGCCAGAUGUCCUUAAGAAGAGACAGAAAAAGAACCUCUGCGUGCCCACUACAGGACGGAAGUCGCCUCCCUCCCCUCCUUCCUUCCCUCCGAUUCAUUCAUUCAUUCCUUCGACCUGAGCCUCGGUGCUGUGGCAGCUGCCAGCACAGAAGCAGAGCAGGGAAAGAUGAGAGGCGAGGCGGAUGAACAAGUGCAUUGUGGGACCGUAUGGUAAGUUCUAGGAGAGAGGCAAGCCUGGGGCAGGGGGCUUCCACCAGCCCGGGAGCAUGGGGUCUGGGAAACCAGACUUCCUGGGGAGAGGGGCCUUAAAGAUGAUGGGGGUGGUGGGCGACUAUAGCAGCCACGCCCCCGAUGGUAGGUGCAGGUGCUGCUCCCUGCAGGGGACAUGCCUUCCAUGGUCUGCCUUCCCUGCUCCUUUUCCAGCCGUGGGCACUACCGCUCUCUCUUUGGGAGUUUGUGCACAGGGUGGGGAACUCAAGCCGAGAGAAGAGGGGAGGGGCCCCAGGGGAGGGGCAGGGAAGAGCCCCGCUGGGUACCUGACGACAGGUGUUCAGGAAGGACUUCAGGCCGGGCUGCAUCCGGAGGACUCCGGAGGAUGGAGCUGACCCUGCGGGCUGCGGUGCUCCUUGCAGGAAAAGGCGGGGGGUCAGUGGCGAUCUUGAAGCCAGUGGGUGACGAGGUAUGGGUCACUCUUCAGAGAGGUGCGUG